rnacentral:lncRNA from 1 species
CGUGUUGUAUCCCUCAGAGGUUGGGGUGAAAAACCGUUGAGAACCACUGCUUUAGAUUCCUGAGGGAAAGAGGCCCCAUAUUUUGCAGGCAGGAAACCAUUGUUUUCUUGAUAACAUCCUUGCCCUAAAGGAAGGUGUUACCUUCAGGGUAGAGGGGCUGGGUGUCAAAGGAGUACACACUUAACCUCCUGGAAGGAGGCCUG